rnacentral:rRNA from 1 species
UACGUAGGUGGCAAGCGUUGUCCGGAUUUACUGGGCGUAAAGGGCGUGUAGGCGGCUUCGUGUGUCCCAUGUGAAAGCCCUCGGCUCAACCGGGGAACUGCAUGGGAAACUGCGGAGCUUGAGUCCGGGAGAGGUGAGUGGAAUUCCCAGUGUAGCGGUGAAAUGCGUAGAGAUCGGGAGGAACACCAGAGGCGAAGGCGGCGACCUGGACAGUAACUGACACUCAACUACGAAAGCGUGGGAGCAAACAGG